rnacentral:lncRNA from 1 species
UCAUCCCAUAUCUUCCCACUUCCCCCAUCUACGGUUUCCAUCAUUUUUCCUCUGUUUUCUAUUUUUUCUUCUUUUUCAUUUUCUUCUAUUCUUUUUAUGUUACUGAAACUCUUUUUCUCUGUCAUUUCUCUUUUGCGAUUACCCUUUUAUUUAUUUUUCCCAUUAAUCACCUUGUUUGGUCCUUUACCGUCACCCUAUCCUUCUGUUGAUUAAACAAAUGUUUACGCACCCUUAUUUCUCUGUCGCUCUAUUUUAUGUUCAUUUUUCUUACGUGUUGAUCGGAGUGUUAAGUUUCUAUGUGGAAAUAUUUGGUAAGUACAGUUGAUUUUCAGUUGGUGAUUUCUAUUUUGAUGCGUUUUCUUG